rnacentral:lncRNA from 1 species
CUUCAGCAUCCUUGCAUAUGUUCAAUUCUUAAAAACCUGUUGAAAUAAAAGAUCAGGAGACAUAGGAAGGAUGCCAGAAGAGAGCGUGGCCUCAUGUGUACCAGCUCUCUGCUCUCCUUUGCCUUGGGACGUUCCAUCCCUGGAAGUUUCCCUGCCCACAUCUUUGUAGAGAGUCCAUUCUCCAAGCUUCAGUGUGUCAUCUGUGAGGACUGUGACCAACCUGGUACAUCGCCUCAGGGCAUUCAUUUCAGGCUCCUUCUAAAUGGUCAAGUUUUCAAGAUUGUUUUGGCUCUAGCAAAACAAGUUGGAACAUUCACAUCAUCCAACAAAACACCAACAUUUUUGUAAUGGCCUGCAAGGCCUUCCGAGAUCUGCCUCCUGCAACUCAGCUUCUCCUGUGCUCUCCUUCUGGACUCACUCUGCCUCAGCAACACUGGUCCCUGUUGCCCCACCAAUAUACCAGGCCAUGAGAGAAGCAGUACCUUAUAAUGGUUCCUUGUUCAAAGCACUCAAUAUUCCUAGGAUGUGGUCUCCCAGCUGACUUCAUAACUGAAUCAUCAGUAAUUAAUUUCAUUGUUCUAUUAGGACUUUACUGAAGACUCUAAGGAGGACCUGUAUCUGUUGGGAUCCUUAGGGCAAGCCACAGAAACAAGCUUUGGAUACUAGAAGCAGAAAAUGGAGUUAUUGAAGACUAUUGUGGAGUUUACUGUGAGCCAGAGAACCAGGCUGGGUGGCUGUACCACUUAGAAUGAGAUCCAAACUCACACCAUAGUUCCAUCCUUGAGGUCGCCAUGUUGCUGCCACCCCUCCUGCCACCCCACCACUGAAGCUUUGGAUGCUGGAUUCUGGGCACAGCGGGGAGAAGUGUUGGUUAUUACCAUUUUAAUAUGUUUUCUUUCAAGACCUUUUCAAAAUAUACAUACGUAUUUUUAUUUCUAUUCAAAAUGGGAUACAUUUUUGAAGGUUAGCAAUAUAUUGUGAACAUUUUCUUUC